rnacentral:rRNA from 1 species
CUGGCUCAGAUUGAACGCUGGCGGCAGGCUUAACACAUGCAAGUCGAGCGGUAACAGAGAGUAGUUUACUAUUCUGCUGACGAGCGGCGGACGGGUGAGUAAUGCCUAGGAAUCUGCCUAGUAGUGGGGGAUAACUUGCCGAAAGGUAAGCUAAUACCGCAUACGUCCUACGGGAGAAAGGAGGGGACCUUCGGGCCUUUCGCUAUUAGAUGAGCCUAGGUCGGAUUAGUUAGUUGGUGAGGUAAUGGCUCACCAAGACCGCGAUCCGUAACUGGUCUGAGAGGAUGAUCAGUCACACUGGAACUGAGACACGGUCCAGACUCCUACGGGAGGCAGCAGUGGGGAAUAUUGGACAAUGGGGGGAACCCUGAUCCAGCCAUGCCGCGUGUGUGAAGAAGGUCUUAGGAUUGUAAAGCACUUUAAGUUGGGAGGAAGAGCAGUUAACUAAUA